AGAGCUCGCAGCAGCUGGUGUCUGACAAAUUAUCCCGUUCCAGACAGGCAAAUGGUGACUUGAGCUCCAGCAGUCAAAUGGAUGUGUGUUUGGUGUGCCCCUGUGUGCCGGGCAGGGUGGGCUAAAUCCUCUGCUGGAGGAAAUCGUCAUGGUUCCCCCCGCAGUCCAGUGCUUUCACCUCCGCUGAAGGUGACUUUUCCUCCCCAGCUGCUGCUGGCCAGGUUCAGCUUAAGACACUGCAAAGAAUGGAGGGCUGCGAGCCUGGAGGGUCCGAGGUGCUCCUCACAGGAAAGAAGGACCUAAUUCAUUUCCCACUGAAACCAGCAGAAGGAAUUUCACUGAGUUCACUCCACAUUGUAUCAGACCACAAAUGAAAGUGAAUGUUAACUACAUUGCAGAGCAUGGAAAAAAUCAUCUUGACUUGCAAGAAGUCAGACUUCCUCUAGGAACCCAAAAUGUCCUUCAGUGGAACUAUUAAAGCAAAGAGAAGACUCUGGACUUCAGUCUGAAUGACAAUAAAGACCCUGUUUCUGCACAACACAAGCACAAUCAUUUCGAACUGCCUUAGAUGUAAGGCUGUAAUCCAGGAAGGUGUUUAUACACAUGCCUGCCUGUAAACAAAUGCUUAAUCCCAUUGGAAUCAAUUGGGCCUCAACUCACCUCGAGUUUUCUUUGCUGUGAUGAAUUUAAACAUCUGCAUUGAAGAGAAAAUUGCUCACAGCACCCUAAUCUUUAACAAGCACUGGAAAAAGUUUGCAGUGAAAUCAGCAGGACUUCAGGCAAUGUGAAGGCCUUUCUGAAUCCAGCCUUGUCCAGGCCCCCAAAUCUUCCAAGAGCAAAGGGUGCUGGAUGAAGCCAUAGAUGCAACUAGAUGUUUUCACACUUCUGCAACCCC